CGAAAGCCUGACGGAGCAAGACCGCGUGGGGGAGGAAGGCUCUAGGGUUGUAAACCCCUUUUCUUUGGGAAGAACAAAAUGACGGUACCAAAGGAAUCAGCCUCGGCUAACUCCGUGCCAGCAGCCGCGGUAAUACGGAGGGUGCAAGCGUUAUCCGGAAUUAUUGGGCGUAAAGAGUCCGUAGGUGGUCAUGCAAGUCUGCUGUCAAAGCCCACAGCUCAACUGUGGAUCGGCGGUGGAAACUGCAUGACUUGAGUACGGUAGGGGUAGAGGGAAUUCCCAGUGUAGCGGUGAAAUGCGUAGAUAUUGGGAAGAACACCGGUGGCGAAAGCGCUCUACUGGACCGUAACUGACACUGAGGGACGAAAGCCAAGGUAGCG
rnacentral:rRNA from 1 species